AGCUGCAAAGUUCUGAGAAUCAUUUUAAGAGUUUGGUUAAAACUAAUGCUAACGUUUCUUCUAGUGUUUUACCUAUGAAAACUACACGACUGAUCUGUUAAAUAAGAGAGCACAAGUAAGAUCGGUGUUUAAAUACAGGCCCCCCUGUUAACGAGACUUCCCCAGGACCCAAAUGAGUGUCUACCAUAAAUGAAACAGGGACAUCUAAUGAACAUCCUGGAUGUGGUAUUUUUAAUGUUAGGAAACUUUCAACACCACACCUGAAAAAUAUAAUGCCAUGUCAACUUCGUAUAAUAUCAUGUUUAGUAAAGACUCAUACGGGCAGCCUCUCACGAAUAUCCUGAAUUCUGUUACCAAUAAUUUACAGGAUAUACUGGACGAGACUACUUCCCACCUAAAACCUACCAACAGAGUUAGAGUGUGUGUUUAUUUAGAUAAUUUAGACAAACCUAUUAGUACAUACUUAGGUGACAAGAUCAUGCUUUCACCCAAUAUAGUCCUAUCAAAUAUCGAAAAACUUAAUCAGAGUAAAAAGAAUAUAACAUUAGACAAAUAGUUUAAAAUUGAUGUCACUACUUUAGAAAUGCCCAUAGGUAGCAGUCAGUAUAUGAUCAUUAAUAUUAUUGCCAAUCACUUAAAAAAAUGAUCGGUUAUAUCUAUAAAAAAUUAUGAUGAUGACAUCUGUUGUGCUAACACACACCUUAAAAAUAUCCAAAAUAAAAUAGUAUUCAAAAUCAGCAAAUACUAUUACUUACACAGAUGAAUGAUCUUGCGGAAUUUAAGAAAUAGAGAGAUUUGAACGAUAUCAAAAUGUUCAAAUCAAUUUUGAUUCUUCAUAUAAUUUCAAUAGAGUUAUCUAUCCAGGUUCUACACAUCCCCAAAAUAUUUUCCUCUGGUUACAUGAUAAUCAUUUUGAUGUUAUCACGUCAAGGAAAGGUUUCCUUGGAGUAGCCUUGUACUGUUCUGUUUCUGACAAUGGGUUUGGGAAUUUAAAUAUGCACCAUUGUGCGAGUUAUUGUAAUCGACUAGUGGCAAACAGACAGUUUCUUCAUGUGAAAAUAUUUUCUGUGCAAAAAGCGUUUCAUUAUUAUCAACAGGGAAAAAUCAUUGUCCUGAUUUUCACAGAUGCGGCAAAACACAUUAUGCAGGAUGUAAAAAAAUCGUCAUACCCUCUACACAUCUAUGUUUCCUCCAUUCUAAAGAUAUUAAAAACGUGCCCCGAAAAAUAUGUGUUUUUGAUUUUGAGACUGACCAAAAAAUGGAAACUCAGGAAGUGAAUUACUGUGUGGUCCACGAUUUGAACAGUCAAAGAGACUGUAUUUAAAGGCUACAAUUCAUGUUAUGAGUCUUGUGAGUUUUUGUUUUCUGAAGAACAUAAGAAUUACACAGCCAUAUUUCAUAACAUGAUAGGAUUUGACGGUCAUUUCAUUUUAAAUUAUCUUAUCUGUCAAGGGAUAAAACCCGACAUCAUUGUUAAUGGCAGAAAAAUAAUGGUUAUGACCAUCAAACGUCUUAGAAUUAGGGUUAUCAACAGUUUCAACUUUAUCAAACCCCUUAAAAUUAGGGUUAUUAACAGUUUAAACUUUAUCAAACUCCUUAAAAUGAGGGUUAUCAACAGUUCCAACUUUAUCCUUAUGGCAUUAUUAUCAUCAUCCACUAAACUUUUGGGAUAACUGAGUUACAGAAAGGAUUUUUUUCCUCAUCUGUUUAAGACAAGGUUAAACUAAAAGUAUCGAGGUUCUUUGCCCAAUAUGAGCUUUUAUUCACCUAACACCAUGACAGCACCAGUAAGAGAAAUAUUUCUGGACUGGUACCAACAGUACUGAGAGGAAAGGUACAUCAUCGACUUUCAAGAUGAGAUGUCCUGAUAUUGUCAAUCAGAGAUCGAGGUACUUCAUAGGUGCUGUCUACAGUUCAGGGAGGAAUUUCUCGCCACCUGCGAUAUUGACCCGUUGAGAUAUACAACCUUUGCCUCUGUAUGCAUGGACAUAUACAGAAACAAGUUUAUACCACUGCAGUAUAUAACUCUUGUACCUAACCAUGGAUACAAUACAUCUAACUACUAUAGUCAGUGCAGUGUCUCUCGGAUAUAGACCACCUCCAGUAUGAGCAGGUGACCCGAAACAUCCGCCACAUCCCCUGGGAUAGUGGUAACAUCGGAUAUCCCUAUCUGUGGAAUGUGGUUAGUUUCCUAAGACAAAACUUUACUGUUAUUCUUACCAAGAGGAAUGAGAAAACCGAACUGUUGAGAAGUCUCCUACAAAUUUUU
rnacentral:lncRNA from 1 species